UGGCGGACGGGUGAGUAACGCGUGAGGAACCUGCCUUUCAGAGGGGGACAACAGUUGGAAACGACUGCUAAUACCGCAUAACGUACGGGUAUCGCAUGGUACUGGUACCAAAGAUUUAUCGCUGAGAGAUGGCCUCGCGUCUGAUUAGCUAGUUGGUAGGGUAACGGCCUACCAAGGCGACGAUCAGUAGCCGGACUGAGAGGUUGGCCGGCCACAUUGGGACUGAGAUACGGCCCAGACUCCUACGGGAGGCAGCAGUGGGGAAUAUUGGGCAAUGGGCGCAAGCCUGACCCAGCAACGCCGCGUGAAGGAAGAAGGCUUUCGGGUUGUAAACUUCUUUUCUCAGGGACGAAGCAAGUGACGGUACCUGAGGAAUAAGCCACGGCUAACUACGUGCCAGCAGCCGCGGUAAUACGUAGGUGGCAAGCGUUAUCCGGAUUUACUGGGUGUAAAGGGCGUGUAGGCGGGACUGCAAGUCAGAUGUGAAAACCACGGGCUCAACCUGUGGCCUGCACUUGAAACUGUAGUUCUUGAGUACUGGAGAGGCAGACGGAAUUCCUAGUGUAGCGGUGAAAUGCGUAGAUAUUAGGAGGAACACCAGUGGCGAAGGCGGUCUGCUGGACAGCAACUGACGCUGAGGCGCGAAAGCGUGGGGAGCAAACAGGAUUAGAUACCCUGGUAGUCCACGCUGUAAACGAUGGAUACUAGGUGUGGGGGGACUGACCCCCUCCGUGCCGCAGUUAACACCAUAAGUAUCCCACCUGGGGAGUACGAUCGCAAGGUUGAAA
rnacentral:rRNA from 1 species